rnacentral:rRNA from 1 species
GACGAACGCUGGCGGCGUGCUUAACACAUGCAAGUCGAACGGAAAGGCCCUGCUUUUGUGGGGUGCUCGAGUGGCGAACGGGUGAGUAACACGUGAGUAACCUGCCCUUGACUUUGGGAUAACUUCAGGAAACUGGGGCUAAUACCGGAUAGGAGCUCCUGCUGCAUGGUGGGGGUUGGAAAGUUUCGGCGGUUGGGGAUGGACUCGCGGCUUAUCAGCUUGUUGGUGGGGUAGUGGCUUACCAAGGCUUUGACGGGUAGCCGGCCUGAGAGGGUGACCGGGCCAAUUGGGAAUUGGGACACGGCCAAGAGCCUUAGGGGGGCCAGCGGGGGGGAUUUUGGAACAAGGGAGGAAGGCUGAAGGCAUAAACGCGGGGUGGGGAUGAAGGGCCUUCGGUUGUUAACCCCUUUUGGCUGGGAACAAGGGUGAGUGAAGGUAAUGGGGUAAGGAGCCACGGCUAACUAAGUU